GGCACUGUGGUUUAGUUGGUUAAGGCGCCUGUCUUGUAAACAGGAGUUCCUGGGUUUGAAUCCCAGCAGAGUCU